ACAAACAAACAAAAACCAAAAACCAGGAGGAAGGAGUCUCUCUCCUCCAGACCUUCAUUGAAGAUCUCACCUGAAGAUGUCAGGCCCACCCUGUAUAAUCUCCCUUUUGAUUAACUCAAAGUGAAUGUAUUAGGGGCUUGGUGGUGGAAGGAUACUGACAUCCAGGCUGGGACCACAUGCCCCAGCUCCAGAUCAGGGUGGGGAAUGGCCAGUCGCACACAUGUCGUGGGGGACUAGUGACUCCUCAGUGGAAAAUCGGGGACUGUCAUUGGAGAGGAGCGAUAGAAGAAAGGUUGAAGCAGUGCAAUGUAUCUCCUGCACCAGCCUGGGCCUCGAUGUCUUGAGUACUGAUGACCCAGUACUCAGUCUAGGGCAAUCCCAACUCCAUCUGCGGGGCUGCCCACAGUACAUGGACCCCCUCACAGGAUUUGCUGACCACACGUGCAAACAGCCACUUCCCAGCCCCACUCCCCGCAAUCCCCCUGAACCCUGUCAAAAUUCCCCUCAGUUCUCACCAAGAUUAAAAGCAAUUCUCAGGGUGAGCGGCUCAUUCUGCUAGUUUAACUCUCUCGAUUCCUUCCCUCUCCAGAACUCUGUACUUACUGCUCC
rnacentral:lncRNA from 1 species